UAGAUACCCUGGUAGUCCACGCCGUAAACGAUGUCAACUAGCCGUUGGUCGGGUUACCGAUUAGUGGCGCAGCUAACGCAUUAAGUUGACCGCCUGGGGAGUACGGUCGCAAGAUUAAAACUCAAAGGAAUUGACGGGGGCCCGCACAAGCGGUGGAGCAUGUGGUUUAAUUCGAUGCAACGCGAAGAACCUUACCUACCUUGACAUUGACAGAACCUUGGAGAGAUCCGAGGGUGCCUUCGGGCCUGGA
rnacentral:rRNA from 1 species